UCCAUUAAAAUUCAAAAAUGUUGCAUUAUAAAUUCAUAUAUGAAAUUCGAGAAACCUAUAUCUUCUUAUAGCAUAGUUGAAUGUACCUGAAAAUUUUCCAUGGUGCCUAACUGCCUAAGAAGGUAGUAUGUGGAAAUUCCAGAAGGAUCAAAGUCAAUUAUGGGGAACUACCAUCCAACUUUCAAUGGUGUCACAUCUUGCUUUCCAUCAUUUACUUAUACUUACUGCUUUAUAUCCAUACUUUCUGUCUCCAUUUCCUGUCAGCUUCUCUAGUUAGAAACCCUCAGUAUCAUCGCUUCAAGCUUUAGGAAGAAGGUGAAAAGUGAGAACAGAAACAAAAAAUACAAAUGAAUGCACCACCAGCAUGUCAAGAAAUGUCAUACUAUGAGCACAUUCAGCGCCGACGUGAAGAGAAAGGAUGCAUUUAUGCCUGUUUGUUCACCUUGUGUUGCUGUUUCUGCUGUAUUGAGACCUGUGAAUGCUGCUUAGACUGUCUAUGCUGCUGUUGCCCUUGAAAGCUAAAGCACUACCAGUACAAACUAUUUGAGAUCCAUGGAGGACAAUCAGGAAUUAUCACUCUCUUUUUUUUCUUUAACUAAUAAAGGGGAAAAUGGAAACAUUUCAUAUUUCAUUUCUAUAUCAUGAUAUGAGGAAAUAAUGUAAAGGCCAUGGUGUCUUCUAGUCUAGUUUUAUAAUUUCAUUAUAUAAACAAGGUUUAGUUGAUUUAA